rnacentral:lncRNA from 1 species
CAAAGAUGCUGCUCGAAUGAAGAACAAAGCAAAGAUGCCGCUUGAAUAAUGAACAGAGCAAAGAUGUCGCUCACAUAACGAGUCGAGCAAAAAUGCCACUCGCGUAACGAGUAGAGCAAAGAGGCCGCUCAUCAUCACGCUUGGAUAACGGCCUACGAUUGACCCUGGCUCAACGACUUCUGACUGACCUAAUUAUUGUUAAGGUUCUUUCGUUUGGAACCUAAGUUCUUUUGUUUGAAACAGUUCUAUUUCCUACAUUCGAAACUAAAUUUUUAGUGAAACUUCAGUCUCUCAAGCCAUAAUGGAUUCAUCUAAAUACCUA